rnacentral:rRNA from 1 species
UACGGGGGGAGCAAGCGUUGUUCGGAUUUACUGGGCGUAAAGGGCGCGUAGGCGGCCACCGCAAGUCGGUUGUGAAAUCUCCGGGCUAACCCGGAAAGGUCAACCGAUACUGCGGGGCUAGAGUGCAGAAGGGGCAACUGGAAUUCUCGGUGUAGCGGUGAAAUGCGUAGAUAUUACCAGGAACACCAAUGGCGAAGGCAGCUUGCUGGGCCACUCCUGACACUGAGGUACGAAAAGCGUGGGGGAGCGAACGG